AACCUUAUGGACCUGCGGGCGUAUACCUGCGGAAGGAUCAUUAUCGUGGAGCUCCGGCUCCUUCGAGGGAGAACCCUUGCCUUUUCGAGCACCUGUUCGUUUCCUCGGCAGGCCCGCCUGCCAAUGGGGACCCCUUUAAACUCUUGCAAUCACCUGUACGAAAUCGUCUGAACAAAACAAACGAAUCAAAACUUUCAACAACGGAUCU
rnacentral:misc_RNA from 1 species